rnacentral:rRNA from 1 species
GACGAACGCUGGCGGCGUGCUUAACACAUGCAAGUCGAACGGAAAGGCCCUGCUUGCAGGGUCCUCGAGUGGCGAACGGGUGAGUAACACGUGGGUGAUCUGCCCUGCACUUCGGGAUAAGCCUGGGAAACUGGGUCUAAUACCGGAUAGGAGCCAUUUUUAGUGUGAUGGUUGGAAAGUUUUUUCGGUGUAGGAUGAGCUCGCGGCCUAUCAGCUUGUUGGUGGGGUAAUGGCCUACCAAGGCGGCGACGGGUAGCCGGCCUGAGAGGGUGGACGGCCACAUUGGGACUGAGAUACGGCCCAGACUCCUACGGGAGGCAGCAGUGGGGAAUAUUGCACAAUGGGCGCAAGCCUGAUGCAGCGACGCCGCGUGGGGGAUGACGGCCUUCGGGUUGUAAACUCCCUUCGCUAGGGACGAAGCUUUUUGUGACGGUACCUAGAGAAGAAGCACCGGCUAACUACGUG